rnacentral:rRNA from 1 species
GAUGAACGCUGGCGGCGUGCCUAAUACAUGCAAGUCGAGCGAACAGACGAGGAGCUUGCUCCUCUGACGUUAGCGGCGGACGGGUGAGUAACAGGUGGGUACCCAACCUAUAAAACUGGGAAAACUUCGGUAAACCGGAGCUAAUACGGGAUAUUUUCUUAAACCGCAGGGUCCAUUAGUAAAAGACGGUUUUCUUUUCACUAGUCAGUGAAUCCGCACCGCAUUAUCUAGUUGGUAAGGUAACGGCUUACCAAGGCAACGAUGCGUAGCCGACCUGAGAGGGUGAUCGGCCACACUGGAACUGAGACACGGUCCAGACUCCUACGGGAGGCAGCAGUAGGGAAUCUUCCGCAAUGGGCGAAAGCCUGACGGAGCAACGCCGCGUGAGUGAUGAAGGUCUUCGGAUCGUAAAACUCUGUUAUUAGGGAAGAACAAAUGUGUAAGUAACUAUGCACGUCUUGACGGUACCUAAUCAGAAAGCCACGGCUAACUACGUG